rnacentral:ncRNA from 1 species
AAAAGUUUUGUCCUAGCUUUACAAUCAACUUCAGCCUAUCUUACACAUGCAAGCAUCUACAAGCCAGUGAGAAUGCCAAUACACUUUGAGCCGAUAUCAGGCACAACAAGUUAGCCAAUAACAUCUAGCUCAGCCACACCCCCAAGGGUAAACAGCAGUGAUAAACAUUAGUAAAUGAGCACAAGCUCGAACUAGACAUGGCCACAGAGGGUUGGCCAAUCUCGUGCCAGCCGCCGCGGUUAUACGAGAAACCCAAGUUGAUAACAAACGGCGUAAAGUGUGAUAAAGAACAAGUCCACAACAUAAGACUGAAACCCAACUAAACUGUCAUACGUACCAGCAGGUAAUAAAUCCAAUCAUACAAAAGUAGUCUCAACUAAAAGACCUUUCAUCAUCACAACCGCUAAGACACAAACUGGGAUUAGAUACCCCACUAUGCCUAGCCACAAACUGAAAAACUUACAACUAUUUUCCGCCAGAACACUACGAGUUAACACUUAAAAAUCAAAGGACUUGGCGGUGCCCAAAAUCCACCCAGAGGAGCCUGUUCUAUAAUCGAUAAUCCACGCUAAACCUCACCACUCUUUGCUAAAACAGCCUAUAUACCACCGUCUACAGCUCACCCCAUGAGGGGGAAUAAGUGAGCAAAAUGAACCCACUAAAAACGUCAGGUCAAGGUGUAGCACAUAGAGCGGAAAGAAAUGGGCUACAUUUUCUUACAAAGAACAAACGAAAAAGCAAAUGAAAAAUCCUUAGAAGGCGGAUUUGGCAGUAAAAAGAAACAAUCAUAUUCUUUUUAACACAGCCCUUGGGCGCGCACACACCGCCCGUCACCCUCAUCAACUUAAUCACACCAGCUUAAUAAACAUAAACAUCACUAACUAGAAGAGGAAAGUCGUAACACGGUAAGCGUACUGGAAAGUGCUCUUGGAAU